rnacentral:tRNA from 1 species
CCGAUGUAGCUCAGCGGCAGAGCAGCUGUUUCGUAAACAGCAGGUCACCGGUUCAAAUCCGGUCAUCGG